UACGUAGGGAGCAAGCGUUGUCCGGAAUCAUUGGGCGUAAAGCGCGCGUAGGUGGCCUCAUAAGUCCGCUGUGAAAGUCAAAGGCUCAACCUUUGAAAGCCGGUGGAUACUGUGAGGCUAGAGUACGGAAGAGGCGAGUGGAAUUCCUGGUGUAGCGGUGGAAUGCGCAGAUAUCAGGAGGAACACCAAUGGCGAAGGCAGCUCGCUGGAACGGUACUGACGCUGAGGCGCGAAAGCGUGGGGAGCGAACAGG
rnacentral:rRNA from 1 species